UCACAGCUGCAGGCUGAUGUGGGAGAUGGUCCUGCCUUAGACACUUGGUCAGCCUUUGUCACUGUCCCUUCCUUUGUUGCCAUCACAGAGACCCAGGUGCCCACUGUGACCAGCAUCAGGAAGGCACAUGUUGUGCUGCUUAAGAAGCAGUAUCCUGUAGUCCCAGGCACCGUGCACAAGUCCCAGAGCUCUCUUCUGCAAAAGAAGCCCAACCCGUGUGUACCUGGAGGAUUGCCACCCCCAUCUGCCUGCCCCUGUACUGGAAGCUGAUUGUCGCUCCCCACCUGCACUCUGGGACACUGCUUUGUACUGGCCAGUUUUCUAGACCAGCUUUACCCUGGACAAACGGGGGAAUUUUUUUUUUUUCUAUCUGGUGGGCUUAGCUAUACUUUCCCCAAUAAGGUAUGAACUUCAGCCUUGAGGAGAGAGUUUCACUCUGAGUUUGUCUUUCCUUGGAUACUCUCUCUCAUUCCUGGAGUAUCACACAGCAUUUUCAUAUCUGUUAUGAUUAUUCUUUUAUCAUAGAUUGAUGAUUCUUUAUAUUGAGCUUUGGUUGUUUAACUCACCAUAUGGUUUCUGUUUCGACCUACAUUAGUCAUUAGUCAGUGCAAAUUAAAACCACAAAGAGAUACAAUUAUAUAUACAUUUGAAUGGCUAAUCUGUUUUUUAAAAAAGUAUGGACAAUA
rnacentral:lncRNA from 1 species